UCUAUGGAGAGUUUGAUCCUGGCUCAGGACGAACGCUGGCGGCGUGCCUAAUACAUGCAAGUCGAGCGGACGAUUCGAAAGCUUGCUUUUGAAUCGUUAGCGGCGGACGGGUGAGUAACACGUGGGCAACCUGCCCUGUAGACGGGGAUAACACCGAGAAAUCGGUGCUAAUACCGGAUAACACGAAAUGUCGCAUGACGUUUCGUUGAAAGACGGCGCAAGCUGUCGCUACAGGAUGGGCCCGCGGCGCAUUAGCUAGUUGGUGAGGUAACGGCUCACCAAGGCGACGAUGCGUAGCCGACCUGAGAGGGUGAUCGGCCACACUGG
rnacentral:rRNA from 1 species